rnacentral:misc_RNA from 1 species
GGUGCAAUACAAAGACAGUUCGCGGACGCCUUGAAAGUUCAUGUUCAACAGCCAGCGAAUGACGGUUGGAAGAGGAAGCAACUGGAUGUUUGGUCAACCAGCAAAGCAGCUGGUGGCGUCAAAGGCUAUUCUCUGCUAGUUGGGCUAUUCCCUAUAGUUAUGCUGAUCGGAUUCAUAUCUUUACAAUUACGUGUGGCUCCAGGAAAUCUGAUCAGAACUUUUCAUGCUACAGCGAUAUACCAGUGGAAAUUCAAAACCUACAUGUCAUCAAGAAACAUCAGAUGUUUGUUGGAAUCCUCAAAAGUUCUAAACUCUUCGUACAAAAACAGGAACAACGUGAACUACUUGACAAAAAUGGGGAUUGCAAUAGAGUUUUGAUCUAUGGAACCGACUUGAGACACAAAAAACUAUUUUUGUUGAGCCACGACGAAAAAACGAAUUUACAGAGGCAAUGGAAGGAUUUUAUGAAAACGUUCGCAACCCAUGCAGAGAACAAGCGU